rnacentral:rRNA from 1 species
UACGGAGGGGGCUAGCGUUGUUCGGAAUUACUGGGCGUAAAGCGCACGUAGGCGGAUUAUUAAGUCGGGGGUGAAAUCCCGGGGCUCAACCCCGGAACUGCCUUCGAUACUGGUAGUCUAGAGGUCGAGAGAGGUGAGUGGAAUUCCGAGUGUAGAGGUGAAAUUCGUAGAUAUUCGGAGGAACACCAGUGGCGAAGGCGGCUCACUGGCUCGAUACUGACGCUGAGGUGCGAAAGCGUGGGGAGCAAACAGG